GGCAAGGUACUUAACUACGGAUCUAUAUGGAGAUUAAGCCUUAAAAAGCUAAAUUUCAGAGAUUCUGAGGAAAGUCCGCCCACUACCUGUGUCUAAUGACCUAGGUCCCAGUUUGGGGGUUGCUUACUUUGUAAGUUCCAGUAAUGGAAGGCAACUUUAAAGAAACGAAACGCCCUAUAAAAUUGGAAUGAUGUAGCGAAGAUUUUGGUGACAAAAUCAAGAUAACCUGCUGACGUCUUUAUAGGAAACGAUGAAACGAAAGAUCCCAACCAGUGCAAGUCUUCGAGACGCUUAGUAGAAUGUUAAGACAAAGUAUCGCGAGAACUGCAAAAUAGUUUUCGUUUGGCUUUGACAAAAGGCGGCUUAUUCCUUGCC
rnacentral:RNase_P_RNA from 1 species